rnacentral:rRNA from 1 species
GAGUGCGCAGUUUUCUGUAGCAAUACAGGAGAUCGGCGCACGGCGCACGGGUGCGUAACACGUGGGCAACCUGCCCUCCAAAGGGGGAUAACCCGUCGAAAGGCGGGCUAAUACCGCAUGACAUUCCGGUGGCCUCGGCCGCCGGAAUCAAAGCUCGAAAGGGCGUUGGAGGAGGGGCCCGCGGCCGAUUAGCUUGUUGGCGAGGUAACGGCUCACCAAGGCUUUGAUCGGUAGCCGGUCUGAGAGGAUGGCCGGCCACACUGGAACUGAGACACGGUCCAGACUCCUACGGGAGGCAGCAGUGGGGAAUCUUGCGCAAUGGGCGAAAGCCUGACGCAGCGACGCCGCGUGGGGGAUGAAGCUUCUCGGAGUGUAAACCCCUUUCGACCCGGACGAAACGCCCGCAAGGGCUUGACGGUACGGGUAUAAGAAGCCCCGGCUAACUACGUG